CCCGCCUCUCGCCGCCUCGCAACGCCCGGGCUGCCCGCCGCGAACGCCUGAGCAAAACACCCGACCGCGGCUCCGAAACGGGUUGCUCCAGAGGCGGAAGACAUUUUAGCCGAAAAACAACAUUGAACAACCGUCUAGUUUAAAAUUGUUCGAACAUCAGACAGCCUUCCUCCAGUGGAAGUACGUGCGGGAGCUUUCAUGGAGCCGAAAAUGGAUUUAGCUCUGAGUGGUGCUCACAGAACAUCUGCCCAUCAGGUUGGACAUCAGCAAGGAUUUUUUCCCUGAAAGGUUGUCAAGCACUGGCAUGGUGGUAGACUCACCAUCCGUGGAGGUGUGCAAGAACCAACUGAACUGAAACACUGAGUGCUCAGCUCUGGUUGACAAGGUGCUGAUCAAUCGAGGGUUGGACUUGGUAAUCUUGGAGAUGUGCUAAGUCACAGGUUUCCUGUCUCUUGGGGUCCCAGAGAGUCCCAGGCUGUGCACCCCACAUGUUAGGGAAGAAAUGACAGUUAGACCCACUGGAAAAUAUCUUCUAAUAGGAAGAAUUUUUCCAGGAUUCAGAAUUUCUUAGUUGAGAAUCUUGUUUUGCUCAGUUCAGUAGCCAAGCCAAUGACUGUCAAGUAUUCCUUCCUUCCCUCCCUUGCUCCCUUCCCUUCCAUCUGAGAGUAGAAUCAUAGAAUGUUAAAGCUCAUCUAGUCCCACCUACCCUGCCAUGGGUAGGGACACCUUCCACUAGAUCAGGCUGCUCAGGGUUCUGUCCAGCCUGGCCUUGGACACUUCCAGGAGUGGGGCAGCCACAGCUUCUCUGGGCAACCUGUGCCAGUAUCUAUCUCACAUAACAAGUGAGACUACAAUUAGAAAAGUAGUCAGUAUUAAAUACCUUGUUCAUUGGGGCUGUUCUCUGGAGAGAUGGAAGAUUCAAACAGAUUCUCAGCUAGGAAGAACAUCCUAGAGCUCAGCUGAUAGCCUGGCUGUUCUACAUCAGAGCGUAUCACUUAGAACAGGCCUCUCUAUAAAUUCCAAAGAACCGUUGGAGGUGACUGCCUGACUUGGGAAGCUUGUUCCAUGGGCUUUAGGACACUGAGCAGCUUGUUGGAGCAGACUGGAAUACAGCUCUGAGCAACCUGAUCUGACUUUGCAGGUAGAUCCAGGUCACUCUGGUCCCUUCCAGCCUGGAUUACUGUGUGCUCCCCUGGAACUCUUCCUAACAGCUGAGGGAGCAGCUGGGGGAGGCAGGUGAUGCUCGGCAGCAGACUUGGACACUAACAGAAGUUCCUCAGAGAUCCUGGUAUUGAUAACCACAUAAGCUCUUUGUUCACCAUUGAAUGGGACCUGAUUUUCAUUUUUAAUUUCUAUGUAUCUCAUAUAUAGAGUGUGAAGCCUCCAGACUACAUCUAAGAUGACUUUUUGAUUGUACCAGCAUCACAUUUACCUCUUUCUUCCUCAAUCACAUCAUCUCAUACUCCUGUGCUGAGAACCACAUUCAGUGCACUAAAAACCACUGCCUUUAUUUUCCUUAAAUUAUUUUUUAUUUGUACUAAAACUCCUUGGUUUAGAGAAUCAGACAGUAACAGAAGGUGGCCAGUGGAAAACCUGUCUACAAAUUCUAAAUCCCCUUUCCCAGUAUUGCCAAAGACCAAGGUUUCUGAUUUGGCUCAUGACCAGCAAGCACAAGCUCACGGGCUACAAAUCAGGCUCAGCAAAGGGGGGAUGGGGUUUGCUCUCAACACAAGACAAAUAUAAUGGAAUCUAGGAACAGGCAAAAAGCUAAAUUCCAUGCUUAAUUAUAGUUGUGGAUAAAUUUAAUUCAAAAUUAUACUGCUGAUUAUACUUGGUACAGCUCUCUACAGCUUUCCAAAGGAGAAAAUUCCGUCCUCAGUGAAUUUUGAAUCCUACUGUUGAAUUAGAAGUUUGGGAAAGUUAAAACAGCAAAAACACCCCACACCCCAAAAAGAGACAGAUGGCUGUCACAGAUACACUAUAAUCACAUGACAGCACCUCCCACUGUGCCCUACAUAUCGUACAACGAACCUCCCCAGCCACUCCAGAUGCUUCCCGUUAUCUGUUGUGAACAAGCAGCUGCUGCAGCGGCAAUAGCCCAAGUGCUGUGAGUCAGUCAGUAUUAAUGGCACAAAACCCCUAUCCCUGGCUAAAGCUGCGAGGCAAAAACAAGAUUGCUUACAAAAGGUGUGGCCCAAUUUCAAUUGUUCUGCACACAGGUAAUGGUUGCACUGCAAAUACUCCUAAAGCUGAGCAUUGCUCCCCCGAGCGCAGGGAAUCACACCAUGUAUCAGCCAUGGGUAAAUUACAAUUAAGGGCCUUUGACCACUGAGAACGUGAAGGAGGAAGGGAGCAGAUUAACACCAAAGCAAAUACCUGAAAAGAUUGGAGCAACUGAGCUUGAUUUAAUGCUUAAUCAGAUCCAGAAGAGCCCUGACCUACAUAUUGACAGCAUCCCUGGGCUGCAGGCGCAGCCAGUUGAGCAGCCAUGCAGCCACAGGGGAAGAGAGUUUAACAUGCUGAAUGUGAGGAAGCAGCCUCCUGGAUGCAGCCCUGCAUCUGCUCCACAGCCUCACAUUCCACUUUGACAGAGAAACAGGAUUUUUUUUAGCUGCUGGUGGUGAUUUAGAGACUAUGGAGGUAACACACUGAUUAUUUUUCAAUACAAAUGUGAUGUGGCAUUGUCAAAGUCUAAUGGCAAUCAGGCUUGAAAGAGCUCAGCUUUGCUCCAUCAACAAGUUGGAAAAAUCCACAGAAGUCAUCCUGAAUUCACUGAACCAAGGAGAGCAAGCCAGGGAGAGAGCCAGGUAUGACCAUGGAAUCUGAAAAAGAACCUAAUCUACAUGUAGGGGAGAAUGAGACUUGCUGCAAAAAUCAUCCCUUUUUUUCAGGAAUACAAAAGAUGAAGAACGUUUUUUAAAACAAGCAGCCACAUCAAAUUUUAAAAUAAUUGAACUGAUUGGUUCAGUGUAAAACCAGAAAACAUCAGAAUUAUUCAUGUGAGAGAGAUGGUAGAAGGACACUGGCGAGCUCAAAGGCCUGGGCCACUGUUUUUUAAAGCAGUCUUGGAACAAUGCAGCAGCAGAAGAGGAAAAUUCUUGUUCUUAGUACAAGUCUGAAAAAGCUAAUUAUAUAAAAAGCUAAUUACUGCA